rnacentral:rRNA from 1 species
GUGGGGAAUAUUGGGCAAUGGGCGCAAGCCUGACCCAGCAAUGCCGCGUGGGUGAAGAAGGUCUUCGGAUUGUAAAGCCCUUUCGGCGGGGACGAUGAUGACGGUACCCGCAGAAGAAGCCCCGGCUAACUUCGUGCCAGCAGCCGCGGUAAUACGAAGGGGGCUAGCGUUGCUCGGAAUUACUGGGCGUAAAGGGCGCGUAGGUGGCCUUGUUAGUCAGGCGUGAAAUUCCUGGGCUCAACCUGGGGGCUGCGCUUGAUACGGCAGGGCUUGAGGGUGGAAGAGGCUCGUGGAAUUCCCAGUGUAGAGGUGAAAUUCGUAGAUAUUGGGAAGAACACCGGUGGCGAAGGCGGCGAGCUGGUCCAUACCUGACACUGAGGCGCGACAGCGUGGGGAGCAAACAGGAUUAGAAACCCUAGUAGUCC